UACGAAGGGGGCUAGCGUUGCUCGGAAUCACUGGGCGUAAAGGGUGCGUAGGCGGGUCUUUUAAGUCAGGGGUGAAAUCCUGGAGCUCAACUCCAGAACUGCCUUUGAUACUGGAAGUCUUGAGUUCGAGAGAGGUGAGUGGAACUGCGAGUGUAGAGGUGAAAUUCGUAGAUAUUCGCAAGAACACCAGUGGCGAAGGCGGCUCACUGGCUCGAUACUGACGCUGAGGUGCGAAAGCGUGGGGAGCAAACAGG
rnacentral:rRNA from 1 species